rnacentral:rRNA from 1 species
CCUACGGGAGGCAGCAGUGAGGAAUAUUGGUCAAUGGGCGCGAGCCUGAACCAGCCAAGUCGCGUGAGGGAAGGAGGUCCUAUGGAUUGUAAACCUCUUUUGUCUGGGAGCAAAAGACGCCACGCGUGGCGUUCCGAGAGUACCCGAAGCACAAGCUUCUGCUAACUCCGUUCCAGCAGCCGCGGUAAUACGGAGGAUGCGAGCGUUAUCCGGAUGUAUUGGGUGUAAAGGGAGAGCAGGCGGAAGAUCAAGGCAGCGGUAAAAUUGAGAGGCUCAACCUCUUCGAGCCGUUGACACUGGUUUUCUUGAGUGAGUGAGAAGUAUGCGGAAUGCGGGGUGUAGCAGUGAAAUGCAUAGAUAUCGCGCAGAACUCCGAUUGCGAAGGCAGCAUACCGGCGCUCAACUGACGCUCAUGCACGAAAGUGUGGGUAUCGAACAGGAUUAGAUACCCCAGUAGUC